rnacentral:lncRNA from 7 species
ACACAAAGGAAAGGCUCCUGCUGCUCAGGGUUGGGCACAAACAACCCAAACUCCCUCUAACUGACUCAUCAGCAAGAAAAACCUCAAUGUCAUCAGUACUGCUAAUCUUCCUGGAGAGAUUCUGCCGACAUGACAGGAAUGAACAACCUGCUCCCUGUUCACUUCCCUGAAGCCCCCUGGAAUGUUUUUACUAUACUGAAGGAAGACAAGACUUGCCUUGCAAGUGAAUCCAAGGUGUUCCUUUAUAAAUUUGGGAAUGUCUUGUGUGCCAGAUCAAGCAGAUGCAAAAAGCUGCCUUGAAAGCUGUAUGAAAUAAUGCAAGUGCUCAGCAGCCUGGUCGACUGAGACUCUGUGGAAACGGAAGUCAGCAUCCUGUCCACUGUCCAAACUGAUCUGAAAUGUUCCUGCAACG